rnacentral:misc_RNA from 1 species
GGUGAAGAACGCAGCAAAAUGCGAUAAGUAAUGUGAAUUGCAGAAUUCAGUGAAUCAUCGAAUCUUUGAACGCACAUUGCGCCCGCUGGUAUUCCGGCGGGCAUGCCUGUUCGAGCGUCAUUUCAACCCUCAAGCCCCCGGGUUUGGUGUUGGGGAUCGGCUCUGCCCUUCUGGGCGGUGCCGCCCCCGAAAUACAUUGGCGGUCUCGCUGCAGCCUCCAUUGCGUAGUAGCUAACACCUCGCAACUGGAACGCGGCGCGGCCAUGCCGUAAAACCCCAACUUCUGAAUGUUGACCUCGGAUCAGGUAGGAAUACCCGCUGAACUUAAGCAUAUCAAUAAGCGGAGGA